GGGUGAGAGGAACCAAGGAUGAGCACCCCCCCUCCCCUUUGCUUGUCACUGCCCAUAUCCAGGCCUGGGAAGGUCCUGCCAGCCAGCGACACCCACACAGAUUACAGACUCCCACACAGAUUACAGACUCCUGGCAUGGCCACAAGAGAGUUCCCCAGUCUCUGCUGGCCUUGGCCUCCCUGGGACACCCGGCAGGUAAGGAAUGGGCAAAGGACCCAGGCACCCUGGGAAGCCAGACAAGAGGCCAUGUGAGUGGGAGCCAUGGGCACGGCUGCUAUUUCAGGCUUCCGAAGAACAACACAAAUUUGUCACCGAGGGUGAUUGAGAAAACUAUCCCGAACUCCUCAAAGCCAGCUGGACCCGGAUUUGAGACGACCUGCCCAGUGCCCACAACACACAUGUUAAGUCUGAUGUGACACACAUGUGCCAGGCCUCAGCCCCUCCUUGCAAGGCACAUGCUGCCACACAGCCAGCCAGCCUCCCCCAGGAGCCUCUGAGUGACGGCAGCCACUUCUCUGAAGCUGUAGCUGAGGCUGAUAUCUGGCUGGGGGUGGGGGAGGAUGUCACAGGACAGCUUGAUGGCUCUCUCCGUGGGGGAGGGGGAGUCAGGAUGAUUUCAACCGUACUUUAAGAGCCUACUUUUGGCUGAAACCUGGGGAUGUCACUCAGGGCCACAGCCCCUGACAUUCUGCCUUAGUCCCUGGGCAAGAAAUCUGGUUGUUGUACAGAAGCUGGUACAAGGAGUGAGAUAAUGAAUCCGAUCUACAUCAUUCCAUGUUAUGUGCAUUAUAUACAUAUAUGUAUUACAUAUACAUAUACUGUCAAGAAAUAA
rnacentral:lncRNA from 1 species